rnacentral:rRNA from 1 species
GAUGAACGCUGGCGGCGUGCUUAACACAUGCAAGUCGAACGAUGAAGCCCAACUUGCUGGGUGUAUUCGUGGCGCACGGGUGAGUGACACGUGAGUAACCUGCCCUCUACUCUUGGGUAAGCGUGGCAGAAUGGGUCUAUUACCGCAUAGAAGAGUCCACCUCAGGGUGGGUGUUGGAAAGAUUUAUCGGUUUUGGAUGGGCUCGCGGCCUAUCAGCUUGUUGGUGGGGUAAUGGCUCACCAAGGCGACGACGGGUAGCCGGCCUGAGAGGGUGAACGGCAAACCUGGGACGGAGACACGGCCAGGAUGCCUAGGGGGGGAGGAGGGGGGGAAUAUUGCCCAAGGGGGGAAGCCCGGAUGAAGGAAGGCGGCGGGAGGGAGAACGCCUUUGGGGUGUAAAACCAUUUUCAGUAGGGAAAAGGGUAAUUGUGCGGGUACUUGAAGAGGAAGCCCCGGCUACCUACGUG